AGCGGGGCACGCUCCUGCUCCCAAGGAACCUAAAGGGGGCCGGCUAAGACAAUGGGUACCCUAGCACCCUGGAGACUUUGCCUGUGACCUAGCUCGCCUCGAGGGCCGCCACCUCGCGGAGGCGUGGAGCGAUGCCCCCUACUGGGAAGCCUGCGCCUGGAGCACCGCGCAGCUGGUCCUGGCUAGACACGCUUUGCAUCUGAAGAUCUCUGGUGGCAGCAGGGUGGCACUGCGGUUAGGAGCCCAGGCUGCCUGGAUCCCAGCCCUCGCUCCACCGCUCACCAGCUCUGUGACCCUGGGCCAGUUAAUAAUGAAAAUUAUCAGAGAGAGAAUGAAACACCUUGCAAGCCAUGACAGAGGCAAUCUCUUCAGCAAAUGAGAGAAGUGUCCAGACAAAGAUGGGAUCCGAUAGCUGCAGAUGCUCACGGUGCAGAGGGAGAGAAAGAGGGACACCUCCCCUGCAUCUC